rnacentral:rRNA from 1 species
AUUGAACGCUGGCGGCAGGCCUAACACAUGCAAGUCGAGCGAGCGGCGGACGGGUGAGUAAUGUAUGGGGAUCUGCCUGAUAGCGGGGGAUAACUACUGGAAACGGUGGCUAAUACCGCAUACCAUCGGAUGAACCCAUAUGGGAUUAGCUAGUAGGUGGGGUAAAGGCUCACCUAGGCGACGAUCCCUAGCUGGUCUGAGAGGAUGAUCAGCCACACUGGAACUGAGACACGGCCCAGACUCCUACGGGAGGCAGCAGUGGGGAAUAUUGCACAAUGGGCGAAAGCCUGAUGCAGCCAUGCCGCGUGUAUGAAGAAGGCCUUAGGGUUGUAAAGUACUUUCAGCGGGGAGGCGUUACCCGCAGAAGAAGCACCGGCUAACUCCGUGCCAGCAGCCGCGGUAAUUC